rnacentral:rRNA from 1 species
UACAGAGGGUGCGAGCGUUAAUCGGAAUUACUGGGCGUAAAGCGUGCGUAGACGGUUAUUUAAGUCGGGGGUGAAAGCCCCGGGCUCAACCUGGGAAUUGCAUUCGAGACUGAAUAGCUAGGGUACGGUAGAGGGAAGCGGAAUUUCCGGUGUAGCGGUGAAAUUCGUAGAUAUCGAGAGGAACACCGGUGGCGAAGGCGGCGACCUGGGUCGAUACUGACGCUGAGACGCGAAAGCGUGGGGAGCGAACAGG